rnacentral:lncRNA from 1 species
UCUUCCACCCCAUGGUCGGCCAAACCAGCAAGAAGAGAGAGAAAACAAAAACCAAAUCCUAGAGAGAGAAAAUCAAAGAAAAAGUGUGAAUUUUCAAGGAAAUUAAGUGAAAAAGGUGAGAUUUUUUCUAUUAAGCUUGAGUUUUCUUAUUCCCAAGCAUUUCUCUUUAUUUUCCAUGAUUAAAUUACAUGUUUUCAUGAUGAAUUCAAUUCUGAAAAAAUGGGUUAGGAGAGAGAAAGUUGUUGGAUUUAUUUGAUUUUAAUUUAUGUUAGUGUUUUUAGUUAGUUUAGCAUAUUUAGAAACAAAACAACAAGAAAAGAAUUUAUUUUCUCCCCCAACCAUUAAUGGCUGAAUUUACCAUGUAGUGAGUGAGGAUGAGUUUGAUUUUAUUCUAGGAGAAUUGGUUAAGGAAUAAUGAAUUAUGAGCCUAGAAAAAUAAUGNNNNNNNNNNNNNNNNNNNNNNNNNNNNNNNNNNNNNNNNNNNNNNNNNNNNNNNNNAUUAUGAAAUCAUGGUUUUUGAUAUGGAAAUUAAUGAAUUAUGGAAAGAAAAUCAAGUAGGAAAAAUUGUGACAAUGAUGCACCAUUUUGGCCGAAUUUUUCCAAGAAGGAAUAUGAAUGUGGCUUUGCUGAUUUUUGGGUUAUUUGGCUGGACAUUGGUGAUUUGAAGCAUUAGAAAAAGAAAUGGGAUCAAUUGGAGCUAAAUUGGAUGUGUAUUUCAAUUUAUCGGGUAAAAGACCGAAAUAGGUUAAUACAGUGUUUAGGCAAAAUUUAGACCUUUUGCAUUCCAUAUCAUGCAUUAGUAGUCUAAAUUUGUUUAAUUUCAAUUUAGUACCAAUGUGGUGAAUUUCUUGAUUUUGUAUUGUGUCAAGGUGGUGAGUCCUCCGAUAAAGGCAAGGGAAUUGCAUCCGAAGACCAGUAGUCUGAGUAUUUCGAAAAUCCCCACUCUAGACAUUGUGAGUAACCUUAUCAUCAUUUUAAUUAUCUAAAGUAUGUUUUAACUCGGUUUUGGUGAAAUUUAUAUGAAAAUGAGUUAAAUGGCUAAGUUUAGGUUUUGCAAACAAAAAUGUGUUUAAAUGAAAAGAUUUUAUAAAUUGUCUUGAAACGAAAUAACGAUUUUGAAAAUAGAGUAAUUAGAGACCACUGGUAUGUUGCAAAUUUAUGAUUGGAAAUUGAUGGCUUAUGUUAUAUUGUUCAUGACUGGUUGGGCUGUAUUUUAUGAAUUGUAUGAAUUAUUUUAUUUUACCCUUGCAAGCUGGGUAGUAUUAUAUUAGCCCUGUCAUGUUGUUAAAAUUUUAUUGUAUGGUGGGUUUAGCUUGCUGCAGUAGGCGAGUUUUGUGGACCAGCCUAUUAGAGGGGUACAAAAUCUAGAUAUAUAUAUAUGUACCUCAGUUGGAGAGGCGCGUAGGGUAUCUCUUGAGGUAUGGUUAGAGUUCACGUCACACCGAACCACCUCAUGACGAUGAACUCUGCUAACGCCAAGGAAUGACUGUAUUUUUCAAACUAAAAAUAUGUUUUACGAGUAUACAAAAUUUUAACAGCCUUGGCGGGCUCAAGUGUAUGCCUCUGAUCAAGGUGUCAUCCAGUAUAUUUGAUGGCAUGAGCCAACUGUUUAUGAAAGUCAUAAGCCCUAAUGAGAAAUUAAAUGAAAUACAACCGUUUGCAUGGGUUGGAAUGAAUUUUCAAAUUGUUAAAUACUUAAAAUAAUGGGAUAUUUUAAUUGUCUCAUUUUACUCGGCUUUAGCUUAUUUAAAUGGUGUUUGUUUACUCACUAGGAUUUUAUAAUCUCACCACCCUCCUUUCCACCCAUUUCAGGAUCAGAGUAGUCUGUAAAUAGCUGGUUCCAUCGGGGAUUUCCAUUGGAUUGCGUUUUCCAAACUGUAAGUUCACAGCUUCUUUAAUUCUAAUUAUUAUGGGCCCACUUGAUUAUUGUAAAUUUAAUAGUUUAUUUUGCUACAAUAUGAUGAAUUUAUUUUGUUUUUACGUUACAAAAAGUAUUUACGCAUAACUCCAAAAUUACUGUUUAUAAGAAAAUAAAAUAUUUUAUUGAAUAUCUUGUUUUAUCUUCUUAUUAUAUUUAAACAAUUAUAAUUUUAUUUUAAAUAAAGGUUUUAGAUGCCUAAACUUAUUUUUAAUUGUAAAUUAUGCGAUUGGUACUUGUUUACUGCAUUUUUAACUGGUUUCAAAAUUUUCAGUGAAAAAUGACCAAAAUGCCCCUGUGAGAUAAUUUUUAUUUUAUCAGUUUUAAGUUGGAAAUAGCUCAAAAUCCUUUAGAACAUAAAAUUUGGCAACGGUUACUCACCGAGGGAAAUGAGAAACUGAUAUUAAGCCUUGCGGGGUUCCGAUUGACAUUUCGGGAGAUGAGUGCCCAUUGGGGCACCGCGACGGUUGUCACGGGCUUGAGGGGAGUUCCGGGUUGUGACAAAUUAAGAUGAGACUUGGAAAGGAACCUUAAAGGAAAAUUUUGGACAACUUUAACCUUGAGAAGUUGAGUUAUUGAUUAAAGGGAUUAGUUAAGAUCAUAUGAGGUAUGUGAUUGUCAUGAUUUAUUGAAAUGCUUCGUGAUAUAAGUUAAGAUGUAUCUAGUAAGCACUCGAUCAUUAAAGUACUGGAGUUUUGUUUAUGGGAAUAUGGUUACUAAUAGUUACUAGAUUUGAAUCAUCCAUGAUGUUAAAUAUAUCUGAAAUAAAUAAAGCUUGUUUUGAUCUUUACAUAUUAUGACAUGCUCGAAUGGAAUUUGUAUGGAAGUAUGUAAAAUAGAAUAGACGUUGGUUGAUGAUUUAGACCCACAGUCAAUGGUGGAAUAAAUGCUUGAAUGUUGGAAGGUUUGAUAAAAGGUCAAGGUAGAGGAAAUGUGGAUGGUUAAGUAAACAUGUAUAAUUGAUGAUUUAAGGAUGAUUUGAUUGAUAUGUGACCAGAAUUAAUAGCAUAUUUGAAUUUUCUUCAUAACAUGAAGAAUGGUAUCAUUUUGAUCCAACAAGAGCAGUACACAUAAUUCUAUAUCUUAUGUUAAGAAUGGCCAACGGAAGUGAUGCAAAAGAAUUUAGAAUUUUGAUUGUUCACCCCACGUCGAUUCGAAUUUGAGGACAAAUUCAUUAUAAGUUGGGGAAAUUGUAGUAUCUCGUACUUUGAGGUGGUGGCUAAUAAUGCUUACCGGCUACUAAUUGAGGUUGAUUAUUGAGUAAAAGGGGUAAUUCAGAAGUAAACCUGCGAAACCUCGACCUCUAUAGACAUGUAACUAGAAGUAGAUACGAUAAAACAGAUUAGGGGUAAUUUCAUCAUUUUCUUUAGUGAGCCCCUAAAAGUAUGCUUUCAAACAUUAUUAAGGCUUAAGUAGGCCUAAGGCACAAAUGAAUGAUGAAAAUAAGAAUAAGAUGACGAAGGAAAUAGAAAUAAUGAUGAUUUCCAAGGUAGGGGUAAAAUGGUCAUUUUGCAUCUCAAGUAUAAAUUUUUAAGUUUUCACGAACUUGAGUACUUCUAGACCAUUAUGGACUUUGUCUCAAUGUCCAAAGAGUAAAAAGUUGAACCGAAGGAAAGAAGAAGACAAAGUCACCUUAUGGAGGGCAUUUUGGUAAAUUACAUGAAAAAUGGAUAAACUUUAGACAUAAAUAUCCAAAGCUCCAGUAAUUUCCAGUAGCUUCCAACCAUUUCUUCUUCUCUUCCUAGCUCAUGUUUCUUUAUCUCCAUGGGAGCCUCCCAUAAAGCUUCCAUAGCUCUUUAAAUUAACUUCAAUUUACAUGCUUUGGUACACUUUUUCAUAAAACCUUUGGUACUCUUUCACUCCCUCACCUUAAAACCCUCAAAAGUCUUUCUUUAGCACUUUUUCUUACUAGUUGGAAGUUUUAGAGAGAGAAAGAGAGACUUGCCAUAGUAGCUUGAAAACUCUUGAAAAUGAGUUCAACUACAAGUCCACAAGGUGAGAGAAGAGUUAGAGUAGAACUUUAGUAAUGAAAUUGUGUUCACUGCUUUAGGCAUUGAACUGUAAGGUAUGGACUUGUAUCCACCUUGUGAACACCUUGAUGAGAUAAAUUCGAGAGAUUUUCACAAUGAGAAAACAUUAAAGCCCAAGGAGCAAAUAGCUAUAUAGUCACGUUAGGGCUCGUGACUGAUAUGUCACAUAAGUAUAAAGAUAAGUUGCAAAAACGAAGAUGUCUAGAAAUGUUGGUUUAAGGCAACGAUUAUCUUGCCAUUAUGCAGACCCGAUGAGGUUUGACAUUUGAAAUAACUUUAAGGAAUCUAAAGUUAAGUAUGUUUGCAUGUGACAUAUGACUAAUAAGUUGGUUAUGACUCGGGAAUUAUAAAGAUUGGUUAAGUCAUGAGGAUGCAUGCAAGAAUAUCGUUAAUUAUUGAAAUGCAUUGUGGUAUAAGUUGAAAUUACUUAGAGAGCACUCGAUCAUGAAAAUAUUGGAGAUUAUUUUCAGGAAUAUAGUUCUAUCGGUUACUGGAUUUGAAUCAUUUGCAAUGUUGAAUAUAUAGGAAAUGGAUAAAACAUUUUAAUCCUUGUGUAUUAUGAAAUGCUUGAAUGGGAUUUGUAUGGAAGUAUGUAAAACAAAAUAGAGAUUGAUUGAUGAUUUAGACCCACAGUCAAUGGUGGGAUAAAUGCUUGAAUGUUGAAAAGUUUGAUAAAAGGUCAAGGUAGAGGAAUCGUGAAUGGUUAUAUAAACAUGCAUGAUUGAUAAUUUAAGGUUGAUUUGAUUGCGGUGCAACUAGAAUUAAUGACAUAUUUGAAUUCUCUUUAUAAAAUGAAGUAUAGUAUUAAUGUGAUUCAAGAAGUGUAGUACACAUAAUUGUAUAUACUAUGGUAUUGUCGAGUUUUCUAUAAAGAUUGGAAGAUGAUAUAAAGUAUAAACCAAGAUCCUAUGUUCAGAACGGCCAACAAAAGUGAUGUGGUAGAAUUUUAAGACUUUCAUUAUUCACCUUACGUUGAUUUGAAUUCGAAGACGAAUUCAUUUUAAGUGGGAGAAACUGUAACGCCCCGUACUUUGAUAUGUUGAUUAAUAGAACAUGUCGGAUAUCAAUUGAGGAUGAAUUAAUGAUAUAAAAAGUGAUUUGGAAGUGAAUCGGGGCAUAAUAAGAUACUUUGAGUGCCAAGGAGACAAGUGAAAAAUUUUAGAAGAAAAUAAUAUUAAAAUAUUAAUAUUUUAUUAAGUGUCGAAAUUUUCAAUGAAAAAGGAAUAUAUGGUCAAUCUAAGUGGGGGAGAAGAAGAACGAGAAAAUUUCAAAAAAAAUUGACGUUAAUAGGGCUCACGUGUCUUUAUUAAAUAAAGCUAGCGCAAGUAAGUAAAUAUUUAAAUAUUACGGUGUACUGCAUUGAAGUAUAAAAUUGAUAUUUUAUUGAUACAAGUAUUAAGGAAGAAAAAUGGAAAGAAAUUAGAAUUAAAAGAUUGUGGGAGGAUACAAUUAAAAAGGAUGAAAACCUUGGAGGGUAAAAUGGUAAUUUUGACAUUAGUUUGGUUGACUCUUCAUCCUUAUCCCAUGGCUGGUUCUUAUCUCCAGCCAAAAGAUAUUUUCAUCUUAUCUUCCAUGCUCCUAAUGCCAUUUUCAUGCUCCCACGCCAUUUCACCUUACUACCAUGCAUUUGAAAAGAAAAAUGGCUUUGUUUUGCAAGGAAAAUCGUACUCUUGGAAAAUAAAUUGAUGAGAUCAAUUGGAAGAAAGGAGAAAGGAAAGAAGAAAGGAGAAAGAAAAAGAGAGAAAGGAAGAAAAAGCUUGGUUUUGGUGAUUCAAGUAAGGAAAGGUAAGGAUUCUUAUUUUUAGCUUGAGUAAUCUUUGAAAAUGAGUUAGUGACUAAGAGAAAUGUCUCGUGCCAACAAAGAUUGGCUUGAUUGGAGAAAAAUUGGUGACAUACAAGCCAAUAAACCCUGUGGGUACAUGAUGGACUCAAGGUGGAAAAGGAAAGCGAUAAGCUUAACACUAUGUUUAAAGCCUACAGUUAGUUGGAUAUUGUGAGGAAUUAUGGUUGUUGAAAAGAUCUAUUUGCAUAAGCUUGUUGAAAAUUGUUAAGUUUGUAUGGCAUGCUGUUUGAAAGAAAUGAAAAAGGAAUAUUGUGGAUGGAGGAUUAAGAAACAAAGUAUUGAAAGUUAGAUAGAUAAUGAUGCAUGUAAACUUGGAAAUAAUUGAGUGAAAGUGAGAAUGAUUGUUGCUGCCAUAUAUGUGGGUUAUGUGUGAAAAUAUAAGACGAAUUUGAAUGAAAAUGGCUGGAAAAGGUUGAUAUGGGUGCUAGAGUCAUAAAUAAGUUACCGGUAAUUAUAAUUUAAAGAAUUACGCAAGCAAAGGAUAAAGGCAACUUUGGUAAAAAUGUGUCAAGAUGUAUAUGAAUAUGCAAUGUUAAGUGAGGAAAAGUGGUGAUUCUAGCAUAGUAUGAGUUAUUAACAUGAUGGUAAUGUUUGAAUAAGGAAGAAAAUGGGAAUGAUAAACACUAAGAUUAUUCGAUUUGGUUUAUUGCCAAGAAGUGUGCAAGUGAAAAAAAAAAAAGACACCGUGGUGAUCAACUAAAGGAGAAAACACACCCGGAUAAGUGGCGAAGUGAUAUCUCGCCAUUGUAAGGUGAGUAGAGGGUGCCUAUUUCAAAAAUUUCCAUAGCUAUAUAAUGUUAUACGUUUUAUAAAUGUUGUCAAAUUUCGUUAAAUGCAAUUGUGGAAAGCAUGAGCCGUUAGCCUCGAUAGGUGAUUUCUAAAUGGAUUUAUAAUGAUUUAUACACUGUUAUUGUAGAAAGCAUGGGCUGGUAAAACUCGUAGUAAAUUGUGGAUGCAAGUUGUUUUGAAAAUUGUUUUGGAUAUAUCUAUAGAUGAGCUAUAUACGUAAAGUGUUUUAGAAACCGGGAAACAAGCCCUUUUAUAUUGUUUUGCAUUCAAAAUUUGUGCCUUGUAUUUUUGUGUGAUAUGCAUAGUUUAAAUGAAAUAGUUAAAUGAUUUAAAAUGCAAGAUUUGAGCAUCGGUUUUAGUCCGAUCUUUGUAUAAGAGAAUACAACAUGCCUUUUUAUGUGAAAAGUAAUUUGAAGGCUUAUUGAACCUUGGUUUCAAAUGGUUUUAAGCGAAAGACUUGGAAACUUCAAUGUGAUUUUUGAAAAUGGUUUGGACAAACCAAGUGCGUCCAGAGUAGGUCGACUGUCACUUCGGUUAAUUGUGACUCUUGUGCAUAAGUGAGCUCUAAAUAGAGAACAUUUGUGUCACCGACGGGCGGUUAGGCGUGGCGAGGGCACGACCUAUGAUAUGUAUACGUGGCUAGGCCACAAGUGAUCCAGUAGAGUAAGACUCCCGGAUGUGCACUGUAACGAUCACUUGAUUCUCCGAUGUCGGUCAACAUCGUGGAGACUAUCAUGGCUAUGGGAAUCCGGUGGAGUAAGACUCUCAGAUUGUUAUUAUGUGGAACUGGGUCCAUGUGCUGAUAUUAUAUUUUUCUACUCGAGAGCCUUGUGAGUUUUUCAACACAUACUCUUUGGCAUGGUGGAGGGUUCAGAUUUUCUCUGUAGCUCCCCUAGUUUAAAUAAAAGCUUUCCGUGCUUACUCGACAAUCAUGAGUUGGUUUAUGUGGCUAUACACUUUGAUUUCUUUACAUUCUUUACAUUUUGGAAGCGUGCAUACCUUUAUAUCGUAUUUCAUAUUUUGAUGGCAAAUGAUAUUUUCAAUAAUUGAAACUCUUACGGUUACACUUAUUUUCGGCACUAUUUUGCCAAAGAAAGCAUUGUAUUAUGAUUUUACGAUAUUAUUUUUACAAGGCACAAAUACCCUUAUUGUGAUUAGUUUAUAAGAUUAGCAUUUCAUACUCUGAUUUUAUCAUUCAAAUGAUUUACUUAUUGCUUGUUUCCCAUCUACUCCCUGCUCACAGAGCUGAUGAUCACUGAGUCUGUGAGACUCACUCCCUCAUUUUCCCUUUUGCAGAUAGUGAUCGCCCUAGCGUGAAAUCUUGACACUUAUUGUAGUACCUCGUAUUUUGAUAGGUAGCUAAUAAAGUCUACGGAUGCCAAUUGAGGUUGAUUACUGAGUUAAAAGGGUAAUUCAGAAGUGAACCCAUGAAAUCUCGAUCUCCAUAGACACAUGACUAAAAGUAGACGCGAUAAUGCGGAUCAGGGGUAAUUUCAUAAUUUCUCUUAAUGAGCUCCUAUGAGUGGGCUUUCUUUUAUGCUAUUAAGGUCUAAAAAGGCCUAAGGAAUGAAUAAAUGAUGUGUAAUGAUGAAAACAUGAAGAAAACUAGAAGUGAUAAUAAUUUUCACAACAAGGGCAAAAUGGUCAUUUUACACCUCGAGUCAAAAUUUUAAGUUUUCGUAAACUCGAGUAGUUUAGAUCAUUAUGGACCUCGUCUCAGUGUCAAAAGAAUACAAAGAUUGCACAAAGGAUUGGAGAAGAACAAGUUAACUUGCUAAAGGGCAUUUUCGUAAUUACUAAGGGAAUUGGAUAAGUUUGAGCUAUAAAUAUCGUUUUCUUCUAGCAGCUUCUUCAUUCUCCAGUAGCUUCUUCUCCUUCUUCUUCUUCCAUCUCACGUUGCUUCCAUCCUCCAUGGAAGCUUGCUUUACAACUUCCAUAACUUUCUCUCUCUAGCUCCAAAUUUCAUGCUUUUGCCCACUCUUUCAUACGGUUUUUCAUGCUUUUCCACUUUUACACCUUAAAACCCUCAAAAAAGUCUUUGUUCAACAUUUUCUCUCACUAGCUGAAAGUUUUAGAGAGAGAAAAAGAGACUUGCCAUAGUAGCUUGGAAGCUUUUGUAAAGGAAUUCAACUACAAAAAAAAACCACCAAGGUGAGAAAUGAGUUAGAAUUUGAUUUUAAGGUGUUAGAGAUAACUAGAAAUUUGAUUUAUGGGCAGUUAUAUUUUUGAUAGUUAUAUUGUGGGUGAUAGGUUCAAACAAGGCCUCACAUGUCCGUUUGAAGUAAUAAUCGAAGUUAGAGUCGAUUAGAGGUUCAACAAUCCCGGUGAGUGAACUUACAUUUCAAAAUUUGUUUUGGGAAUGUGAAUCUAUUUGCACAAAUAUUGAUUGAUUUUAUUCAACUUUUCUUAAAAAUGUGUGCCUUGGGAACAAGCCUUUGAUAAAUUAUCUUUAUGUUGUGACAUAUGACUGUUAUGGAUUCAUGCACUACUACAUUAUGUUUAUGUAUAUAUAUAUAUAUAUAUAUAUAUAUAUAUAUAUAUAUAUGUUGUGCAUUGAUGAAUAAUGUUGUGUAGUGAUAUUGACCCGGCUAUGUAUGAGUAGGAGUGUUCAUAUGUCGAUGAUGACCCAACUAUGUGCAAGUGGGAGUGUACAUAAGCCGAUGAUGACCCGGCUAUGUGCGAGUAGGAGUGUGCAUAAUCCGUGCUGACCCAGCCAUGUGCUAGUGGGAAGUGCAUUUGUGUUGCUGAUGAUGAGAGGGUGUGCAUGAUGAUGGGUAUAUAUAUAUAUACAUAUACAUAUAUAGUUUUGUGUGUUAUAGAAAGUUCAUGAGUAUGGUAUAUGGUCUUGUACAUGUGAAUCUUGCAUGUUGAACUUUGGAAAUUUUGAGCACUUCAUGUUGAAAUUAGCAUGAUGAAUCUUGAGAAUGUCCCUUUUUCUUGCAAAUUGAGUUUAUUGCAGCACCAAAUGGAUUUUUAGUGCAAAUGAGGCCUUUUUUCACUUAAGUGCCCUACUUUUCUUGCAGCGAGAAAGCAUUCUAGCUGCAAUGAGAAACAUUCUGUUUUGGCAGUCAGAAACUUGCUACAGCAAAAAUAAAUCCCGCUGCAGCGAGAAACUCUCGGGGUUUUGAUGCAGUGCCUUCAAUUUGAUGAAGAUUUUGGCCCCUUUCCCGUCCGAACUGGGAAAAGUGAUAAAAAUCAAAGUUGUAGCAUUUCCUCUUAGUGUUCUAAUGGUCUAAAAAUUAAGUCAAUUGGACUUCUGUAGCGAGAUAUAUCUUAGAAAAACUAAUAUAUAUGCAAACUAACAUUGUUUCUCACUACAGCGAGAAACUUUCUAUUUUGGCCGCCCAAUCUCGCUACAGCGAGAAUAAACUUUACUGUAGUGAGAAACUUGCUGCCAUGCUUGCUACCUUGCUUGAUUUUGACCUACUUUUUACCCAUUUAAGUUCAUGGAUUGAUCAUGGGUUUGUGAAACACUAUAAGGGCAUUAAUCAAGGUUUGAAAUGAAGGGUUUUUAGUAAGAAAUUAAAUGAAACACUAUGAGGGCAUUAAUCAAGGUUUGAAAUGAGGGGUUUUUAGUAAGAAAUUAAAUCAAGUGCAUUGUUUUUGAAACAAGUGCAUCAUGAUUUCCAAAUUCUUCCUAUCAAUUACUUGUUCCCUUCUUAUGUUCACUCAUUGAGUUUUAUACUCACGUUUUUAAAUUUCAUGUUUUCAGAUUCGAAGGCAGUUGGGACCUAGAUUGAGUCUCACACAUAUGCUCGCCUUCUUGGUAGGUACUAUGGCAUCUCAGUAGUGGUACCUUCACUUAAAGUCACUCCGCUGACAGUUGAGAGUCUUUUAUCUAUGUACAUGUAUAUGGAAUGUAAACUACUAGGAGUCAUGUUAUAAAUGAAGUAUGUAUAUGUUGGAUUGAUGAUGAUACCUUAUGAGAUGGCAAU